CCCUUAGAUGUUCUGGGCCGCACGCGCGCUACACUGAUGCAUUCAACAAGCCUAGCCUUGACCGAGAGGCCCGGGUAAUCUUUGAAACUGCAUCGUGAUGGGGCUAGAUUAUUGCAAUUAUUAAUCUUCAACGAGGAAUGCCUAGUAAGCGUGAUUCAUCAAAUCGCGUUGAUUACGUCCCUGCCCUUUGUACACACCGCCCGUCGCUCCUACCGAUUGAAUGUGUUGGUGAGGAGCUCGGAUUGGCAGCAGUUGGUGGUUCGCCACCGGCUAUUGCUGAGAAGUCCUCCAAACCGCCCCAUUUAGAGGAAGGAGAAGUCGUAACA
rnacentral:rRNA from 1 species